rnacentral:tRNA from 1 species
UGGCCCGUCAUGUUUGAAAAACCUGACGGGUCUGUUGACCCUUAAUGGGGAUGAAAUAUGACUGGAAAUGGAUAAAGAGGGAGAGACCCGAAGGUCGGGGGUUCAAAUCCCCCCGGGCCCACCA